rnacentral:misc_RNA from 1 species
GGAGGGAUCAUUGAAUCUAUCGUAUCGUGUUUUGCUGACCUAGCUGUUGAGUGCCCCCCGGAGGAAUCAUACGGACUGUAAUGACGUACCUCUUGGGCCCUUGUUCCUGGCCUCCGCCACUGGCCCGGCUCGUUACAUCGGUCUGAUGUUCGGGGUUACCCCGGACCGCAGAUCGGAGCCGUUGUGUGAAGAUGGAGGAAAAGGUCUUGGGAGGCGGGACUAGGUUCCGAUACAGGAGGGGUGUCUCCUGCAGCCCUUCGGGGAGGCAGGGGAUACUCGCCCGCUGGUCAAAAUCCACCCAACCUAAACCUUAUACGAGAAGCUGAAGCUUGGUGGCCCUGGCGAUCCGUCAGAGUCCACACACAACCGAGAACAACUCUCAACAACGGAUAUCUUGGCUCCCGCAACGAUGAAGAACGCAGCGAAAUGCGAUACCUAGUGUGAAUUGCAGAAUUCCGUGAAUCAUCGAGUCUUUGAACGCAUAUUGCGCCCAAGGCUUCGGCCGAGGGCAUGUCUGCCUCAGCGUCGGUCGACAUUCUCGUCCCCUGCGCCCGCCCCGGCGGACGCUCCGGAUGGAUCUGGCCGUCCCGCUCACUCCCAGCGGGUCGGCUGCAGCACAGAGUGACGCGGCGGUCUGUUCCGACAGCGCUGCCAGAUUGGUAGGUGGUCGAAUCCGAUUACAUGCCCUUCUGGGAGCCAGGGGAUCGUCGUGUCCGCUCGGAGGGAGUCCGCUCCCUCACUCUUUCUCAAUCGACC